UACGGGGGGGAGCAAGCGUUGUUCGGAUUUACUGGGCGUAAAGGGCGCGUAGGCGGCCAGCACAAGUCAGUUGUGAAAUCUCCGAGCUUAACUCGGAAAGGUCAACUGAUACUGUGCGGCUAGAGUGCGGAAGGGGCAACUGGAAUUCUUGGUGUAGCGGUGAAAUGCGUAGAUAUCGCUUGGAACGCCGAAGGUGAAAACAGGCUGCUGGGGUUGCGCCGACGCUGAGACACGAAAGCCAGGGGAGCAAACGGG
rnacentral:rRNA from 1 species